GAUGAAGAACGCAGCGAAAUGCGAUAAGUAACGUGAAUUGCAGAAUUCAGUGAAUCAUCGAAUCUUUGAACGCACAUUGCGCCCGCCAGUAUUCUGGCGGGCAUGCCUGUUCGAGCGUCAUUUCAACCCUCAAGCACUGCUUGGUGUUGGGGGCCGGCGAGGUCGUCUUUCUCGACGCGCCGCCCCCGAAAUGACUUGGCGGCCCCGUCGCGGCCCUUCCUCUUGCGUAGUAGCACACACCUCGCAUCGGGAGCCCGACGGCGGCCACUGCCGUAAAACACCCAACUUUCUCAGAAGUUGACCUCGGAUCAGGUAGGAAUACCCGCUGAACUUAAGCAUAUCAAUAAGCGGAGGA
rnacentral:misc_RNA from 1 species